UUUUUUUUUGGUUUCUUUUUGGGUGUGUAUUUAGCAAUUAGCAAACUCACUUGAAGUGAGGUUUGCUAUGUUUGUCACUGAUUAAAUUGAACAACAUUGUUGUUUAAAGGUGCCAUGCCGCGCAUGCAUCUUGUUCUGGCUGGAUUUUGCUAACCUGUGACUGGACGACAUGUUUUAGAUAAUCGACGAGGGAGAGUCCUAUUUUAUGAUUGAACAUUGAAAAUUAUAGCAAGUAGGUGUGAGCUGGCAUGAAAACUUCAGCAUUCUUCAAGGAAAAUGGUGGUAUUUGAAUAAGGUGCUAAAAAAUUAGUGCAUAUAAAUACCACAACAACAUACCCAGUAUAAUCCCACAAGGUGGGGUCUGGGGAGGGUAGAGUGUACGCAGACCUUACCCCUACGGCUUACCUUGGGAGAGAAGGUGCCAAGACAACAAUAAUAAUAGGCAGUAAUAGCAACAUAUAAUAAGAUAAAUGACGUUAAAGAAAGAAAGAACUAAACAAUCAAGCUAUAUUAGAGAUCUAAAAAAUAAGCCAGUGAACAAAGAUAAAUAUGACAUUUUAAAAAAAGUGAAGUUUGCUGCCAGAAGUUCUCUCCUUUUUUCCUUCUUUUUUGGAUGAGUAAGCAAAGACAAAAGAUACUAGUAGAAAUAUCUCUUUAGUUCAAGUGGUUUUGUUGACUUGUUUUACACAAUUUGUUGAAUUAGAUAACUAGUAUACCAACUUCUUCUCCACCGAAGGUCCAAAUAAUUUGUUCGACUAAAAUACUAAAACUUCAAUUGAUCCUCCAAAUAUAUGUA